AUAUCGAACACACGUAGUUUCAGAAUGGACUCUCAACCCAUUCAGGUUAGCACGGGAUUAUAUGAAAUACCAUGAUUUACUGGGAAAAUGGUAUGGUGAAGAUAUUAAAGCCGAAAAAUUUUAAAGAACAGCACGUGGGUUCUGAAUAGUUUCUUUUUGCGUGUUGAACAAAGACCAAUGAAGACACACCCAUAUAACUGUCAAGUGAACCAAUCAGACACCGUUGAAUUUUUCAGAAAUAGAAGAAUUCUUCACUAUGAAGAAUCAAUUCUUCGCGAGAAAUGGAAGCAUUUGAUUGGCUGAAUAAGUAGGUUAUGUUCUAA